UGAACACUGAAGGGUUGGCAGGGGACCAGAGAAUAGAGGAAGCAUUGUAGGUUCUAGAGUGGAGAAGGGACCAUCCAAAAUGGAGUUUGAAAGAGAAUUCUGGCCUUUGUGUUUAGAGUCUGGAAUUGUUAAGAGUCUGAAGGCACAGAAUAAGACUGCAGCUAGAGCAAUUUAGGCGCCAUAGUUUGUCAAAACAGAGAUGGGAUCUCACUGUGCUGCCCAGGCUGGUCUCGAACUGCUGGACUCAAGUAAUCCUCCCAUCUUGGCCUCCCAAAGUGCUGGGAUUAUAGUGGACAACCUUGAAUGCACUGGUACUUUGUACCCUGACCUCUACUGUAAUGAAAACUCAACUUGGGCAAGGAAGUGAAAUUCUCCAAAGGAAUUAUUAAGAUAAGGACCAGCAGUACAAUGAGCUUUUCACUGUAUGUCUGACCUGAAAGAAGAAAAUCUUUUCAGAGGACUCCUCUCUCCCCUUCAGUCACCAAGACAAUGAGAGCUCUUGCUAUAGACUACUCAUGGUCAUUUCUUCCCCUGGCAUUCAUAAACUAACAUGGUUCCCAAGCACUACCUUGUUGGCUGAGAGAGAGUCCCCGCCUGUGUUGGGAGGCAGGCUGAGGGCUGCGACGGCUGCUGUGGUGAUUGCUGCUGCUGCAUGCGAUCCUGCAGGCUCCGUGCUUUUCGAAUACUGAUUUGCAACUUCUUAUCGACUAGGGCUCUGCUGUGCGUGCUACAGCUGGCACCAUGCAGGGCAAGUCUUAGUUUAGCUAAAAUGCAAAAGAAAAUAUAGCAGAAACAGAACACAAAACACAAACAAAAAUAAAAAGAAUAAAAUUGAAAAAAAA
rnacentral:antisense_RNA from 1 species